rnacentral:rRNA from 1 species
AGUGAACGCUGGCGGUAGGCCUAACACAUGCAAGUCGAACGGCAGCACAGUAAGAGCUUGCUCUUACGGGUGGCGAGUGGCGGACGGGUGAGGAAUACAUCGGAAUCUACUUUUUCGUGGGGGAUAACGUAGGGAAACUUACGCUAAUACCGCAUACGACCUACGGGUGAAAGCAGGGGAUCUUCGGACCUUGCGCGAUUGAAUGGGCCGAUGUCGGAUUAGCUAGUUGGCGGGGUAAAGGCCCACCAAGGCGUCGAUCCGGAGCUGGUCUGAGAGGGUGACAGGACAAAGUGGGAGUGAGAUACGGCCCGGACUCGUACGGGAGGGAGAAGUGGGGAAGAUUGCACAAUGGGCGGAAGAAGGAGGCAGAAAGGCAGCGUGAGGGAUGACGGCCUGCGGGGUGUAAAAAGCUUGCGCAUGGGACGAAGCGGGAGUGACGGUAAGGGGUAAAGAAGAACAGGCUAACUACGGG